CCACUGUACCCGGCCUGCUAGCAUUUUACUGUUAUCCUCCAUCUACUGACCUACCUUAUUCUACUUGGAAAUGCAUCAAAAGCCACUUAAGCUCCUAGGUGACUCUAAUACGCAGCCAGGCUUGCAAACCUCUGAAGCAGAGGCUCAUACGUCAGGGUGGCAUUAAGGGACAAAGUAGAAACUUUUCAAAGAUGACAUCGAUGCCACUUCACCUCCUCCAGCAGCUGCCUUGUGGGAAGAGAAAGAUCAACACACAGAUCAGUAGGGUAGCAAAAGGGAAAAGCAUCUAAUAUUGAUGAGAUGGCCUGAAGCUCUCAGUGGUGGGCCCUGCUUCAGUGGGGCUGGGGAUAAAGGAGGGCAGAUUUGGGAAAAGAGUCCUGGCCCUCGGAUCAGUGACCGAUAGCUCCUUAGGGGAGAGGAUCCUGGUUGUGGGAGGAAGUCAAGAUUGACCUCAGGUGUGGCCAUUUGGGAAGAAGAUGGAGAGAAGUUUUCACAGAGGUGGUAGCGGUCAGCAUGGGUAUGGACUGAGGUGGUUUCUCAAUCUCUGGGGGUUGAGGGGUAACUAAGACCAGAGAACAGUGCUGUUUAAUGGAAGAUAGUCUGAGCCCUUGGAGGGC
rnacentral:lncRNA from 1 species